rnacentral:sRNA from 1 species
CCCGACUCCUGCGGACUCGGCUGCAGGCGGGCUCCAUGAGGGCGGGCAGCAGGGCUCAGACGAUCCGGCUCGGUUUGGUCAGCAGACCCCC